GACUAUUCCUAUACCACCCUGAACGUGCCUAGUCUCUUCUGAUCUUGGAAGCUAAGCAGGGUCAGGCCUGGUGAGUAUUUGGAUGCAAGAAUUAAAUGAGUUAACUCAUGCGCAAAAAGCU
ensembl:rRNA 5S_rRNA 5S ribosomal RNA